AAGUCGUAACAAGGUUUCCGUAGGUGAACCUGCGGAAGGAUCAUUAACACGUUAUCCACGUAUCACCACCGAGAACCGUUAAUUUCUACCUCUGUGCAGAAUGAGCAGCAGCAAGAUAGAGUGAUUGGGAGGGUCUGCUUAACCGCGCCUGGCUCUAUUUGCUAUUCGUUCCGAAAGGCCUGCUUUUUGGCAGGUUUGUAGGCGCGUACUGUUGUAUCUGUCUCGUGGAGGCCCCGCUCUGCGCACAACUCUCCUCCCAUGAAGUGCGCGCAGAGUAACUUAUCUAACAAUUCUAACCCAUUUUUGCUAGUUGACUUUUAUAUGUUGUAGCGAAGCUUCGGCGACACUGCACACGUUUAAUUAUUUGAACGUUAAAAAUACAACUCUUAGCAAUGGAUAUCUAGGUUCUC
rnacentral:misc_RNA from 1 species